rnacentral:rRNA from 1 species
GAUGAACGCUGGCGGCGUGCCUAACACAUGCAAGUCGAGCGAACCCUUCGGGGUGAGCGGCGGACGGGUGAGUAACGCGUGGGUAACUUGCCCUGUACACACGGAUAACAUACCGAAAGGUAUGCUAAUACGGGAUAAUAUAUGAGAGUCGCAUGGCUUUUGUAUCAAAGCUCCGGCGGUACAGGAUGGACCCGCGGUGCAUUAGCUAGUUGGUGAGGUAACGGCUCACCAAGGCCACGAUGCAUAGCCGACCUGAGAGGGUGAUCGGCCACACUGGGACUGAGACACGGCCCAGACUCCUACGGGAGGCAGCAGUAGGGAAUCUUCGGCAAUGGACGAAAGUCUGACCGAGCAACGCCGCGUGAGUGAAGAAGGUUUUCGGAUCGUAAAACUCUGUUGUUAGAGAAGAACAAGGACGUUAGUAACUGAACGUCCCCUGACGGUAUCUAACCAGAAAGCCACGGCUAACUACGUGCCAGCAGCCGCGGUAAUACGUAGGUGGCAAGCGUUGUCCGGAUUUAUUGGGCGUAAAGCGAGCGCAGGCGGUUUCUUAAGUCUGAUGUGAAAGCCCCCGGCUCAACCGGGGAGGGUCAUUGGAAACUGGGAGACUUGAGUGCAGAAGAGGAGAGUGGAAUUCCAUGUGUAGCGGUGAAAUGCGUAGAUAUAUGGAGGAACACCAGUGGCGAAGGCGGCUCUCUGGUCUGUAACUGACGCUGAGGCUCGAAAGCGUGGGGAGCAAAC